GACGAACGCUGGCGGCGUGCUUAACACAUGCAAGUCGAACGGAAAGGCCCUGCUUUUGUGGGGUGCUCGAGUGGCGAACGGGUGAGUAACACGUGAGUAACCUGCCCUUGACUUUGGGAUAACUUCAGGAAACUGGGGCUAAUACCGGAUAGCAGCUCCUGCUGCAUGGUGGGGGUUGGAAAGUUUCGGCGGUUGGGGAUGGACUGGCGGCUUAUCAGCUUGCUGGUGGGGUAGUGGCUUACCAAGUCUUUGACGGGUAGCCGGCCUGAGAGGGUGACCGGCCACAAUGGGACUGAGAUACGGCCCAGACGCCUACGGGAGGCAGCAGUGGGGAAUAUGGCACAAUGGGCGGAAGCCUGAUGCAGCAACGCCGCGUGCGGGAUGACGGCCUUCGGGUUGUAAACCGCUUUCGCCUGUGACGAAGCGUGAGUGACGGUAAUGGGUAAAGAAGCACCGGCUAACUACGUG
rnacentral:rRNA from 1 species